rnacentral:rRNA from 1 species
UACGAAGGGGGGCUAGCGUUGUUCGGAAUCACUGGGCGUAAAGCGCACGUAGGCGGACUUUCAAGUCAGGGGUGAAAUCCCGGGGCUCAACCUCGGAAUUGCCUUUGAUACUGUAGGUCUCGAGUCCGGAAGAGGUGGGUGGAAUUCCUAGUGUAGAGGUGAAAUUCGUAGAUAUUAGGAAGAACACCGGUGGCGAAGGCGGCCCACUGGUCCGGUACUGACGCUGAGGUGCGAAAGCGUGGGGAGCAAACAGG